GUUCGUUUUGUGUGUGUUAGUGUUAGUUUUUGUGUUAGUGUGUGUUAGUGUUAGAAUGUGUGUGUGUGUGUUAGUGUUAGUUUUUGUGUUAGCGUGUGUGUGUUAGUGUUAGAGUGUGUGUGUGUUAGUGUGUGUGUGUGUUAGUUUUUGUGUCAGUGUGUGUUUUUGUGUAUGUGUUAGUGUUAGAGUGUGUGUGUUAGUGUUAGUUUUUGUGUUAGUGUGUGUUACUGCGUGUGUGUUACUGAGUGUGUUAGUUUGUGUGCGUCUGUUAGUGAGUCUGGUGUCUGUUAGUGAG